GACGUAGGGCGCGAGCGUUGUCCGGAUUUAUUGGGCGUAAAGAGCUCGUAGGCGGCUUGUCGCGUCGACUGUGAAAACCCACGGCUUAACUGUGGGCUUGCAGUCGAUACGGGCAGGCUAGAGUUCGGUAGGGGAGACUGGAAUUCCUGGUGUAGCGGUGAAAUGCGCAGAUAUCAGGAGGAACACCGGUGGCGAAGGCGGGUCUCUGGGCCGAUACUGACGCUGAGGAGUGAAAGCGUGGGGAGCGAACAGG
rnacentral:rRNA from 1 species